GACGAACGCUGGCGGCGUGCUUAACACAUGCAAGUCGAACGAAGAGCGAUGGAAGCUUGCUUCUCUCAAUCUUAGUGGCGAACGGGUGAGUAACGCGUAAUCAACCUGCCCUUCAAAGGGGGACAACAGUUGGAAACGACUGCUAAUACCGCAUACGAUCUAAUCUCGGCAUCGAGGAUAGAUGAAAGGUGGCCUCUACAUGUAAGCUAUCACUGAAGGAGGGGAUUGCGUCUGAUUAGCUAGUUGGAGGGGUAACGGCCCACCAAGGCGAUGAUCAGUAGCCGGUCUGAGAGGAUGAACGGCCACAUUGGGACUGAGACACGGCCCAGACUCCUACGGGAGGCAGCAGUGGGGAAUCUUCCGCAAUGGACGAAAGUCUGACGGAGCAACGCCGCGUGAGUGAUGACGGCCUUCGGGUUGUAAAGCUCUGUUAAUCGGGACGAAAGGCCUUCUUGCGAACAGUUAGAAGGAUUGACGGUACCGGAAUAGAAAGCCACGGCUAACUACGUG
rnacentral:rRNA from 1 species